CAGUCGCCACGGUAAUACAGAGGAUUUAAGCGUUAUCCGGAAUGAUUGGGCGUAAAGCGUCUGUAGGUGGCUUUUCAAGUCCGUCGUCAAAUCCCAGGGCUCAACCCUGGACAGGCGGCGGAAACUACCAAGUUGGAGUACGGUAGGGGCAGAGGGAAUUUCCGGUGGAGCGGUGAAAUGCGUUGAGAUCGGAAAGAACACCAACGGCGAAAGCACUCUACUGGGCCGACGUUGACACUGAGAGACGAACGCUAGGGGAGAAAAUGGGAUUAGAUACCCCUGUAGUCCCUGUCUCUUAUAA
rnacentral:rRNA from 1 species